CAGACAGUGAACAAGCUCCAGGCCCUGUGAAGAUUCCAGAUGUAGAGGUCUCCAAGAAGGAGAAUGAGAAAGAGACCUCGGAUGACUCGGACGAGAGCGACAUUUAGAUAAAAACUGAUUAGGAAAUGUGAAGGCCACAGCCAUGAGAGAAAAAAACAACAAAAACAAAUAUAACCACACCGGCAAUGAUCAGAGCCGCAAAAAAAUGCAACAUUUGACACCUUCAGAGAAAACCAGAUGCAGGUGAUUUAGGACAUUAAAGUGAUGAAACAAUUUGGACUUGAAGCCAAGCCUUUUUUGAGAAAAUUGCAAAAAUCCCAAAGUGAUUUUUUCAGCAGUGUCAUUAUAUGACUAGUGGGUGAAAUUUUCAACCCACCUGCAAAAUUGUGUGUUUCCAAGUUUUAAGGUUAAUGCUGCACAAACACUUUUUAGCAGAGAAAACUAAGAAAGUGUCACAGGAUCCAAGUAGAAUAUGAAAACCCCUUUGUAGCAGAGCAUUAAACUACAGGCUAAAAAAGGAAGUUUAAAUGCAGAAAUUUAGUAGUUUGUGUCAACAUUCUUUAGAAGACCAACUGAGUCAUAAAUUAACCUGUUUGCAUUUGUUUUAGAAGCUUUCUGUCCUCUUGUUGUGCAAACCAACAAAUCACCAGACAUGGAUUCUUAAUAAACAUGUUACACUCUGAAAAUAAGACGGUCACCAACUGAAAAGACUUUGCUGAAUGUGCUUUGCUGAAUGUUAUGUGUAUCUGACAUGAUUGAAGAAUGAAUAUGUUGCAAUAAACAUAAUUGGAGCAAA